UACAGAGGUCUCAAGCGUUGUUCGGAUUCAUUGGGCAUAAAGGGUGCGUAGGUGGCGCCGUAAGUCAGGUGUGAAAUCUCGGGGCUCAACCCCGAAACUGCACUUGAUACUGCGGUGCUCGAGUACUGGAGAGGAGAUUGGAAUUUACGGUGUAGCAGUGAAAUGCGUAGAUAUCGUAAGGAAGACCAGUGGCGAAGGCGAAUCUCUGGACAGUUACUGACACUGAGGCACGAAGGCCAGGGGAGCAAACGGG
rnacentral:rRNA from 1 species